rnacentral:ncRNA from 1 species
AAAAAUGCGAUGAAGAAGAAUAGUACACAUUGACAACGUUUAAAGAGAGCCUGCGGUGCUGGAAGCUGGUAGCGAAGUAAUGUGGAAUGGGCUUUGGAGCAGCUGACUGAACUUGUAGUAGGCUCAGCCGGAGAGGACUCCGUUACAAACAUUAAGGUGAUUUCACGUGUUGAAAUAAAUCAGGGUGGUACCGCGGUUCAUUCGUCCCUUUU